rnacentral:rRNA from 1 species
CAGCAGCCGCGGGAAUACAGAGGGUGCGAGCGUUAAUCGGAUUUACUGGGCGUAAAGCGUGCGUAGGCGGCUUCUUAAGUCGGAUGUGAAAUCCCUGAGCUUAACUUAGGAAUUGCAUUCGAUACUGGGAAGCUAGAGUAUGGGAGAGGAUGGUAGAAUUCCAGGUGUAGCGGUGAAAUGCGUAGAGAUCUGGAGGAAUACCGAUGGCGAAGGCAGCCAUCUGGCCUAAUACUGACGCUGAGGUACGAAAGCAUGGGGAGCAAACAGGAUUAGAGACCCCCGUAGUCCCUGUCUCUUAUAA